CAGUCGCCGCGGUAAUACAGAGGGUGCGAGCGUUAAUCGGAUUUACUGGGCGUAAAGCGUGCGUAGGCGGCUUUUUAAGUCGGAUGUGAAAUCCCUGAGCUUAACUUAGGUAUUGCAUUCGAUACUGGGAAGCUAGAGUAUGGGAGAGGAUGGUAGAAUUCCAGGUGUAGCGGUAAAAUGCGUAGAGAUCUGGAGGAAUACCGAUGGCGAAGGCAGCCAUCUGGCCUAAUACUGACGCUGAGGUACGAAAGCAUGGGGAGCAAACAGGAUUAGAUACCCCAGUAGUCCCUGUCUCUUAUAC
rnacentral:rRNA from 1 species